rnacentral:rRNA from 1 species
AACGUGUCGCGAUGGAUGACUUGGCUCCC